rnacentral:rRNA from 1 species
AGCAGUAGCCGCGGGAAUACGUAGGGUGCGAGCGUUAAUCGGAAUUACUGGGCGUAAAGCGUGCGCAGGCGGUUCGUUAAGACAGAUGUGAAAUCCCCGGGCUUAACUUGGGAACUGCAUUUGUGACUGGCGAGCUAGAGUAUGGCAGAGGGGGGUAGAAUUCCACGUGUAGCAGUGAAAUGCGUAGAGAUGUGGAGGAAUACCGAUGGCGAAGGCAGCCCCCUGGGCCAAUACUGACGCCCAUGCACGAAAGCGUGGGGAGCAAACAGGAUUAGAUACCCCCGUAGUCCCUGUCUCUUAUAA